UACGUAGGGGGCAAGCGUUGUCCGGAAUCAUUGGGCGUAAAGCGCGUGUAGGCGGUUCGAUAAGUCUGCUGUGAAAGUCCAGGGCUCAACCCUGGAAAGCCGGUGGAUACUGUCAGGCUCGAGUCCGGAAGAGGCGAGUGGAAUUCCUGGUGUAGCGGUGAAAUGCGCAGAUAUCAGGAGGAACACCAAUGGCGAAGGCAGCUCGCUGGGACGGUACUGACGCUGAGACGCGAAAGCGUGGGGAGCAAACAGG
rnacentral:rRNA from 1 species